AAGAGGGGGGUCUGGUAUGGGGAGGCCUCUAACCCUGCUAUCUGACCAGGCUGGGGUCAGGGGCAAGCAGCACCUGGCCAUGCAGGGAAACUGCCACCUUCAGCUCCAUCUGCCCCAGGUUCCCUAAAAUCAGACUCUGUCAUCGGCAAGUGGAGACUGUAACAGACUGGGACCCUCACAUGCCGAUAAGCAGUCAAGAAUAUUUUCUGGGGGCUGGAGAGAUGGGCUCAGCAGUUAAGAACACUGACUGCUCUUCUGGAGGUCCUGUGUUCAAAUCCCAGCAACCACAGGGUAACUCACAACCAUCUGUAAUGAGAUCUGAUGCCCUCUUCGGGUGUGUCUGAAGACAGCCACAGUGUCCUUACAUAUAAUAAAUAAAUAAAUCUUUUUUUAAA
ensembl:antisense Hnf1aos1 HNF1 homeobox A, opposite strand 1